AAUUACCCGGAGGGCCGGAUCCGGCCCCUGGGCCUUGACUUUGACAUGUAUGCUAAGUCUUAACAACAAAAUAAACAUGAGUUGUAAGGAAACUCCUGAUGACUUCUCUCUUCUCUCUCUCUGCAGCAGCUGAAGCCGGUCGGCCUCACCGUCAUCGUCGUCGUAGUGCCGGUGACCUCUGCUGCGCCCGCGCUGCCAGUCCUGAUGGUCCAUCCUGAGGAAGGUGAGCAGAAACCGGAAGAAGCUGGAACACAAAACAGAACCAGACGGAUAGCAGGUCCUGAAGCCUGGUCACUGAGUGUGAAGGACAGUCACAUGAGCAACACGCCACAUGCAAACGCCUCCGAGCGUCCAGAAGACGGACAGACGCUCGCCGCGGCGCUCAGAGCGACUCCAGCACCUUCGUCCAGGACUGGAACAGCUUCCUCCUCACCCCCCCAGGUGAUGUUCUGGCUCAGAGAUGCGGGUCACAUCGUCCCCGUCACGCCGACCUGUAGACACGUUCACACGCUUCGAUUUGAAUUUUCAGGGACGGCAGGUGUUGGGCUGAUAAACAGAAACGAGGCGUCCCGCCUCCCUCCUCCAGCUCUGCCUCUCUGUGUUUAUGUCACUUUACUUCUUCAUCACCGGUUCAAACCGGAGCGCCGCCGCCGCCGCGCCGCCGCCGCCGCCGCGUGUGGGAUGCUGCAGCUGUGAGGCAGCAGGUGACAGAUGAGGCUGAUUCUCCAUCAGCUGAUGGGAAGUUUAUUCAGGAGAACACGGACUGGAUCAUCGGACUCUGCUCUGUUCAUGCAAAUCACACGUGUCGAGGCCCGGGGGCCGGAUCCGGCCCUCUUUAUUGUUAUUAAUGACCCGAUGUUAUCUUGUGCUCAUUAUUAACUUGUAUAAUUUUGACAAAAUAUUUUUUUAUGGAGGGUAAAAUGUUCAAAGUUAAUUAAGAUUUAAAUUGAUUUAUUC
rnacentral:lncRNA from 1 species